UCUUGAUUGAAUAAUUUACCAAUAACGUUCCACCCCUAGUCGUUGACUCCAAGCGAAAGCGUUCACGUUCAAUCCAUCAACUCCAAGCGCAAACCCACGUUCAUCUAGUUGUCACACUCGAUCUCGGAGUCGGUUCAUCGUUCAUUCUUCCAGCCACCACUCGCAGUCGUACAUCCAGUCACUGCUCGGAGUCAUUCUUCCAGCCGCCCCUCAGAAUCGUUCAUCCAGCUGCCCCUCGAAAGUUUCAUUUUCACUUUCAUUUUGUCCAACUUCUAAGUUUCAUCUUCCAUCUUAGGGCGUGACUAAAAAUACAAGUCCGAGCACAAAGAAAACGACAAGAGGAAGUCACCACCCAACUCGACAUCUAUUGAAACAAAAGUGGUGAAGAAGAAUAAGCCAACUACUAUGAAUAAGACCUCCAGUGCAUGGGAAAAUUUUACAAAAGUUGAAGGUAAGUCCGAUUUCCCUAAAGCAAAGUAUAAUUAUUGUGAUGUUACCUAUGCAUGUGAUACUCAAAAGAAUGAUACCACAGACAUGUUAAAGCAUAUUCGUAUUAAGUGUAAAAAAUAUUCAAGAAGAAUAAAUGAUGCUAAAAAUUCACUUUUUUUUUAUGUUCCUACUAGAUGGAAUUCCACAUAUGUUAUGUUAGACAUUGCUGAAAAAUUUCAAAAAGCGUUUAAAAGAUUAAAAGUGGAGGAUGAAUAAUAUGCUUUGGAAUUUUUGGAAAACGACAAGAAAAAAGGAAAUGGUCCUAUUAUAAGUGAAGAUUGGGAUAAUGCACGUGCUUUAGUCAAGUUCUAGAAAUUAUUUCAUGAUGUUACUGUGUAAAUUUCUGCUUCAUUGACUGUAACAUCAAAUCUCUAUUUCCAUGAAAUUUGUUUAAUUCAACAACAAAUUCAACAUUAUUCAAUAUGUGAUAAUCCUUUGUUGUCUGCCAUGGCGAGUAGAAUGGAAGCAAAAUUUGACAAAUAUUGGAAGAAAAUGAUAGGAUAAAUCUUCUCUUGUAUAUUGCUAUUGUUUUAGAACCUCGUUAUAAGUUGAAAUUUGUGAUAUUUAUGCUUAUGAUUUUGUAUGAUGGAGUUAUGACAAAUGAAAUUGGGAAAAAAAUUGAAGAUGUGAUUAGAAGAAUGUACAAUAAGUAUAAAAGUGUUGAUGAGGAGGAGGAUAGCGCAACAAAUCAAAUUGAGAAAUUGGAGAAUUUGAUGGAGAAGAACAACGAUGAUGAAUCUCAAGCUGCUUACAAUUAUUAUAUGUUUGUUGAACACUUGAGUAAAAAAGACAGUGAAGGGAUUAAAACCGAGUUCGAUAAUUAUAUCAUUGAGCCAUGCGAAAAAUCAAAGAUUCUAAAGUACCAGUUUAUCCCCUCGUAGAUAGCCAAUUUGACAUCCUAACAUGGUGGAAAGCAAAUUUUGGAAAGUAUAUGAUUCUAGAAAAAAUGGCUAAGGAUAUAUUUUUUAUUCCUAUCUCAAUUGUAGCUUCAGAGUCCAUUUUCAACACGGGAGAUCAGGUUUUAGGUUUAUGUCAGAGUACAUUGUCUUCAAAAAUGGUUGAAGCUCUUGUUUGUGCACAAAAUUGGAUGUGUUCUAUACCAAUUAUACAUAGAGAUGAGAUAAUUGAAAUAAGAAUCGACCGUAUUGAAAAACUUGAGUCAGUGGAGAAGACGAAGCAUCCACGGUAGUUACUAGUUAAUCAAGGUGAUUGAAGAAUUGAGUGGGAGGCACCUUGGAUUUACUUUGCUUGGAAUUUAAUUUCAUGUUUGAACUUGGAUUUUAGGUUGUGUUUGAACUUUGAAUGGGGACUUAGACUAGAUGGAUAGAUUGUAUUUUAUGUUUGAACUUGGAUCAACUCUAGAGAGAUGUCUUCAAUAUUUAACUU